AAUCGGUGGUUUCGGCCAUCGUGCAGUCUGGUGUACUCUGUAAUAACUUUUGGGUCUUGUAUUCGUCUACGGCCUUCGUGCCGGCGACGCAUCUUUCAAAUGUCUGCCUUAUCAACUGUCGAUGGUAGGUUCUGCGCCUACCAUGGUUGUAACGGGUAACGGGGAAUCAGGGUUCGAUUCCGGAGAGGGAGCCUGAGAAACGGCUACCACAUCCAAGGAAGGCAGCAGGCGCGCAAAUUACCCACUCCCGGCUCGGGGAGGUAGUGACGAAAGAUAACGAUACGGGACUCAUCCGAGGCCCCGUAAUCGGAAUGACUACACUUUAAAUCCUUUAAGGAGUAUCAAUUGGAGGGCAAGUCUGGUGCCAGCAGCCGCGGUAAUUCCAGCUCCAAUAGCGUAUAUAAAAGUUGUUGCGGUUAAAAAGCUCGUAGUUGGAUCUGUGUCCCGCACCGUCGGUUCACCGCCCGACGGUGUCAAACUGACGCGAUGCGGGACGUCCUGCCGGUGGCGUGUCUAGCUGGCGGCUUUCGGGUCGUUGGGCGGCGCCGAUUCAAUCCUGUCGCGGUGCUCUUCAUUGAGUGUCGAGGUGGGCCGGCACUUUUACUUUGAACAAAUUAGAGUGCUUCAAGCAGGCUGGAUAUUGCCUGAAUGCUAGUGCAUGGAAUAAUGGAAUAGGACCUCGGUUCUAUUUUGUUGGUUUUCAGAACCAGAGGUAAUGAUUAAUGGAGACAGGCGGGGGCAUUCGUAUUGCGACGUUAGAGGUGAAAUUCUUGGAUCGUCGCAAGACGGACCGAAGCGAAAGCAUUUGCCAAGGAUGUUCUCGUUGAUCAAGAACGAAAGUUAGAGGUUCGAAGGCGAUCAGAUACCGCCCUAGUUCUAACCAUAAACGAUGCCAGCUAGCGAUCUGCCAAAGUUCCUUUGAUGACUUGGCAGGCAGCUUCCGGGAAACCAAAGCUUUUGGGUUCCGGGAAGCUGCUUGCAAAGCUGAAACUUAAAGGAAUUGACGGAAGGGCACCACCAGGAGUGGAGCCUGCGGCUUAAUUUGACUCAACACGGGAAACCUCACCAGGCCCGGACACUGGAAGGAUUGACAGAUUGAGAGCUCUUUCUUGUAUUCAGUGGGUGGUCGGUGCGAUUGCGUUCUUAGUU
rnacentral:rRNA from 1 species